GGGUGCAGUCACCCUAUAGUUUUAACCCUGCAAUGAAUGUAAAACACUGCAGAUUUGUAGAAACUGCAAUGUUUCCACUGGAGGCUUAACACACCUCUAGUGAGCCGUUGUCCUUACAGCCACUAGAGGAGCUUCAAUGUUGAGAACCAACUCAUACUCUAUUCUUAAUCAAAUGCUGCUUCUACAGCAGCGUGGCAAUUUGCUGCACAUACACAC